CAGCCGCCGCGGGAAUACGGAGGGGGCUAGCGUUGUUCGGAAUUACUGGGCGUAAAGCGCACGUAGGCGGCUUGGUAAGUUAGAGGUGAAAGCCUGGAGCUCAACUCCAGAAUUGCCUUUAAGACUGCCGAGCUAGCAGGUGAGAGAGGUAAGUGGAAUUCCGAGUGUAGAGGUGAAAUUCGUAGAUAUUCGGAAGAACACCAGUGGCGAAGGCGGCUUACUGGCUCAUACUGGACGCUGAGGUGCGAAAGCGUGGGGAGCAAACAGGAUUAGAUACCCCCGUAGUCCCUGUCUCUUAUAC
rnacentral:rRNA from 1 species